GGGUUGUGAGGUUAAGCGACUAAGCGUACACGGUGGAUGCCCUGGCAGUCAGAGGCGAUGAAGGGCGUGCUAAUCUGCGAUAAGCGCCGGUAAGGUGAUAUGAACCGUUAUAACCGGCGAUACCCGAAUGGGGAAACCCAGUGUGAUUCGUCACACUAUCAUUAACUGAAUCCAUAGGUUAAUGAGGCGAACCGGGGGAACUGAAACAUCUAAGUACCCCGAGGAAAAGAAAUCAACCGAGAUUCCCCCAGUAGCGGCGAGCGAACGGGGAGGAGCCCAGAGCCUGAAUCAGCAUGUGUGUUAGUGGAAGCGUCUGGAAAGGCGCGCGAUACAGGGUGACAGCCCCGUACACAAAAGCGCAUAUGCUGUGAGCUCGAUGAGUAGGGCGGGACACGUGGUAUCCUGUCUGAAUAUGGGGGGACCAUCCUCCAAGGCUAAAUACUCCUGACUGACCGAUAGUGAACCAGUACCGUGAGGGAAAGGCGAAAAGAACCCCGGCGAGGGGAGUGAAAAAGAACCUGAAACCGUGUACGUACAAGCAGUGGGAGCCCCACCACUAAGCCAGUGGUGAACUCCACAUACGCAUCCUUUGCUGAGGAGACGGUUAACGGAGCGAAAGCGACGUUCAACCUCAAAAGAAGCAGAGGGGGCUUAGUGGUGGGGUGACUGCGUACCUUUUGUAUAAUGGGUCAGCGACUUAUAUUCUGUAGCAAGGUUAACUGUAUAGGGGAGCCGGAGGGAAACCGAGUCUUAACCGGGCGUUAAGUUGCAGGGUAUAGACCCGAAACCCGGUGAUCUAGCCAUGGGCAGGUUGAAGGUUGGGUAACACUAACUGGAGGACCGAACCGACUAAUGUUGAAAAAUUAGCGGAUGACCUGUGGCUGGGGGUGAAAGGCCAAUCAAACCGGGAGAUAGCUGGUUCUCCCCGAAAGCUAUUUAGGUAGCGCCUCGUGAAUUCAUCUCCGGGGGUAGAGCACUGUUUCGGCUAGGGGGCCAUCCCGGCUUACCAACCCGAUGCAAACUGCGAAUACCGGAGAAUGUUAUCACGGGAGACACACGGCGGGUGCUAAUGUCCGUCGUGAAGAGGGAAACAACCCAGACCGCCAGCUAAGGUCCCAAAGUCAUGGUUAAGUGGGAAACGAUGUGGGAAGGCCCAGACAGCCAGGAUGUUGGCUUAGAAGCAGCCAUCAUUUAAAGAAAGCGUAAUAGCUCACUGGUCGAGUCGGCCUGCGCGGAA
rnacentral:rRNA from 2 species